rnacentral:rRNA from 1 species
AACGAACGCUGGCGGCAUGCCUAACACAUGCAAGUCGAACGAGACCUUCGGGUCUAGUGGCGCACGGGUGCGUAACGCGUGGGAACCUGCCCUUAGGUUCGGAAUAACUCCCCGAAAGGGGUGCUAAUACCGGAUAAUGUCUUCGGACCAAAGAUUUAUCGCCUUUGGAUGGGCCCGCGUUGGAUUAGCUAGUUGGUAGGGUAAAAGCCUACCAAGGCGACGAUCCAUAGCUGGUCUGAGAGGAUGAUCAGCCACACUGGGACUGAGACACGGCCCAGACUCCUACGGGAGGCAGCAGUGGGGAAUAUUGAACAAUGGGCGAAAGCCUGAUCCAGCAAUGCCGCGUGAGUGAUGAUGGCCUUAGGGUUGUAAAGCUCUUUUACCCGGGAUGAUAAUGACAGUACCGGGAGAAUAAGCUCCGGCUAACUCCGUG